GUACUAGCUGAGAGGAGGUGCAUGGCCGUCGUCAGUUCGUACUGUGAAGCAUCCUGUUAAGUCAGGCAACGAGCGAGACCCACGCCAACAGUUGCCAGCUCGUCCUCCGGGAUGGUGGGGACACUGUUGGGACCGCCUCUGCUAAAGAGGAGGAAGGAAUGGGCAACGGUAGGUCAGCAUGCCCCGAAUUAUCUGGGCUACACGCGGGCUACAAUGGGUGGGACAAUGGGUAUCGACACCGAAAGGUGAAGGCAAUCUCCUAAACCCAUCCGUAGUUCGGAUUGUGGGCUGCAACUCGCCCACAUGAAGCUGGAAUCUGUAGUAAUCGUGUCUCAAAAUGGCACGGUGAAUAUGUCCCUGCUCCUU
rnacentral:rRNA from 1 species